UUUUUUUUUUUUUAAUUUUUUUUUUUUUUUUUUUUUGGCUUUUUAUGGCUGCACCUGCGGCAUAUGGAGGUUUCCAGGCUAGGGGUCGAAUCAGAGCUACAGCUGCCACAGCCACAGCAAAGCAGGAUCAGAGCUGCAUCCGAGACCUACACCACUGCUCAUGGCAAUGCCGGAUCCUUAACCCACUGAACAAGGCCAGGGAUCGAAUCUGCAUCCUCAUGGAUGCUAGUCAGAUUCGUUACAGCUGAGACAGGAUGGGAACUCCAAGGUUUUCCCUCUUAACAGUGCUCUGUGACCUUCUUUCCUUCCCUUCCUCACUGAGCCACUGUAAACCAGGUCAGUUAGUGUCCUCUCUUGAGAAUUCUCAGACUGAAUUUUAAGGAACAGAAGCAAUUACAGUUGGUGUUCAGGAGUUGUGGAUAAUGUGUACUGAGAACUCUUAUCCACCAUGUCUGCCAUGAUGUGGAAGAAACUGGACAAUAGUAGAGAAAAUGAAGCUGAUAUGCCAAUGAGAAUGAGAGACAGUUGUUUCUAGUUUUCAUGAGGCCUAACUCUAGCCAUAUCCUCCCUCCUGCUACGGGGAAUAUUCCAAAACACUUUCAUCCUUCCAAUUGCUUUGGAUAACAGCUCAAGUUUGUUCUUCUAUCAUAAACCAAAAAAGGAGAAGUAUAAUACAGUGGUCUUUGAAGGCAAUAUAAAUAAUUUAAGUUUUUAAAAAAGGAGAGAGUACAAAAGAAUCUCAGUCUGGAUUUCACAGAGAGCAGAGCCUGAGGCAGAGACUCCUCCUACUUUAUCAGAGGGUGAGGUCCUAGCAGUGGGUGUGAGGGAAAGGGGAGUGAGACAGGAAAGCAAGGAUGGAUGCGGCAAGGUGCAUUCUUGUGCUGGCUGCCUCUUAAUGUUAAGUACAAAUGAUUUACUUCUGAGGGGAGGAGUCUAUCCACCGAAUCCCAUGUCUUCAGGGUCAAAGGUCUGCCUUGUGGAGCACUGAUCCUCUGCUCUUUCAAGCUGCAUCACAUGGCUGCUUAGGGUCCACAGCAUAGCAACCACAGGGAAGCCUUGAGCAGGAGGGGAGAAGUGUGUGGUGCAGGCAAAAGUGAGGCACUGUUGAGUUGUGUCCACUGGAACUGGACAGAGGCCGUGCAGAGCUGGUAAUAAUAGCAUCUACUUUGCAUGGUUGGCAUAAGAAUUAGAUGUUAAUGAGUAAGAUACAUAGAACAGUGUAAGACACCUAGUUGGCAUGAGCAUUCAGCAGAUAGGAGAUAUAUUGUCACUACUACUUCUACUACUCCUACUAAUACUGUUGAAGGCCUUGGGAAAGAGUAAUGUCACCAUAAGGUACAUAGGAUGGGUCAGAAUGGGUGAAAAGAGCGGAGAUGGAGAAACCAGUUAAAUCCAGGAGCACAUAUUUGAACGUAUUGAAUGAAUUAAUCAGAAGGCCACUGAAAUAGUUCAAAUAAAUAAAGCUAGUUAAUGUCGUUAAAAAAAAUCCUAUGGUUUUCUAGAUCUUUGUUUCCUUUUUUUUGUUUGUUUGUUUUUGGUUUUUUGAUAAAAAAAAGCAUGGGUAUAGAAAAAUAUUUCUAUACCAACAGAACAUCAGUGCAAAUAUAAAUAGCAACUAAAUCUUGGUCUUGGUAUUAGGCAAAUAAUAGGGAACAGUAGGGACUGAGGUAGAGUGGAGAAUAUACGCACUGUGUAAAGGAAUUACUGCUUAGGAGCAGUUGAUUCCAUAUGAGAAAUCAGACCAAGUGCUGCCAGAUCUUUUGAUUUUUGAAGAGUGGCUAAAAUCCUGAAAUUUGUAUGAAAUCACCCAAGCUUUUUAAGUUGGUUCAAAUUUUUCUAAAAUAUCAAGUGACUUGAAGCAAACAUAUAUAAAGGCCUCCUGUAAGCCCUGCUUGUUAAUUUGUGGUCUGAGUAGCAGGGAGGGCACAGAAAACAGAUUAUAAGAAUGUGACCUCCCAGAGUGCAGUUACCAUAUAUUAUUGAUAUCUGUAUAUUCAGUAUUAAUAGGACAUCAUUGGCAGAGAUAUCAGUAAAAUGAUUCCACCCUAAAACCUCGGUGGGAGACACAUAAGCAUGUGAUUAUAAUACAGUGAUAAAUAUGAUGAUAGAGAUGUGUCUGAGAUAUUAGGAGAGCACAGAGGUAAGGCAACAAAUUAAGGGAGCCUACAUCCAGUAAGACUUCUUGGAGGAGGUGACAUAGCAUUGCUAAGUAGUAAUGAAAAAACCUAAAAGGUCAGUAUUUACAUUGUCAUUUAGAGCGGUUAGCUCAAAUAUUAAAAUUUAAAGAAACAGUAAUUCUAUGCUUUAUCCUGCCUCAUGCAAUGGAAAACAAUAAAUGCAUUAAUAUUUCUACUUAGGAGAGUGAAAAUAUUUGGGGGAAAAGAAAAAGAUUAUUUGGCCAAAUAAUGAAAAAUUUUAUUUCCUUGGUAAAUAAUCACAUCAUCGACAGGAAAAAUUACUUCAAAAUUACAAGAGUGCCUGUUCAGCCAACAUUAGAGGAGAACAACAUCAUAUUUAUUCUGUUUACUUCUCAGACUUGGAAAAUAUAUCAGCAAUGGAAAACAAUAAAUGCAUUAAUAUUUCUACUUAGGAGUGAAAAUAUUUGGGGGAAAAGAAAAAGAUUAUUUGGCCAAAUAAUGAAAAAUUUUAUUUCCUUGGUAAAUAAUCACAUCAUCGACAGGAAAAAUUACUUCAAAAUUACAAGAGUGCCUGUUCAGCCAACAUUAGAGGAGAACAACAUCAUAUUUAUUCUGUUUACUUCUCAGACUUGGAAAAUAUAUCAGCCCUUUAUUUGACUGUCAGAUAAGACUGCCUUUUCCUUAUUAAGAGAAAAAGAUUUUGGAGUUCCCGUCAUGACGCAGUGGAAACGAGUCUGAGUAGGAACACUAAAAAGACAAAAAGACCAAAAAAAAAAAAAAAAAAAAAAA
rnacentral:lncRNA from 1 species